rnacentral:rRNA from 1 species
AGCGAACGCUGGCGGCAGGCCUAAAACAUGCAAGUCGAACGGAUCCUUCGGGAUUAGUGGCGGACGGGUGAGUAACACGUGGGAACGUGCCUUUUGGUUCGGAACAACUCAGGGAAACUUGAGCUAAUACCGAAUGUGCCCUUCGGGGAAAGAUUAUCGCCAUUAGAGCGGCCCGCGUCUGAUUAGCUUGUUGGUGAGGUAAAGGCUCACCAAGGCGACGAUCAGUAGCUGGUCUGAGAGGAUGAUCAGCCACACUGGGACUGAGACACGGCCCAGACUCCUACGGGAGGCAGCAGUUAGGAAUCUUGCGCAAAUGGGGGAAACCCUGACGCAGCCAUGCCCGCGUGAAUGAUGAAGGUCUUAGGAUUGUAAAAUUCUUUCAGCGGGGACGAUAAUGACGUACCGCAGAAGAAGCCCCGGCUAAACUUCGUGCCAGCAGCCGCGGUAAU